AUAAAGCAGAUCGGAAAAUGGAUGGAUGGAAGUGAAAUGCAUCUUGAAUCGGAUUCACAAGUGCCCCCACCAUGCAGCACCACCCCUCUGUCCAGACACCUUAAUAUGAUGGCCAAAGAACAACAGCUGCCCCCACACGUCCCAUCAAAGCUCAUCCUGUCCCAGGAUCACUGCAGCACGAUUUCUUUGAGGAAGUCGGGUUACAGAUGACCAAUGCAUCAUCCAAGAAAACAUGGUUACAGUCCCAUUGACAUGGAUGACAUUGUUCACCCACCUAUAGUGAGUGUCAUAUGACGUCACGGCUCCACCUGGUUGUGAAAACCUGUUUGUGGAGGAUGCCAAACAGAAAUGCGGAUCCUGUUUCUUGUUCUUUUUGAUUAAAAUUAAGACAGCAAACAUCGUGCAACACAACAAGCCAUGCGGUGAUCGCCUCUGCCUCACAGUCCUUUUCUGCCUUUGAAUCUUGCCUCAAGCCUGAUCGUGUGGCAUUUGCAUAUUUUUGCCACGCCUGAGUAUUCGGUCUCCCUUCCACAUUCCAAAAACAUGCAUGUUAGGUUCAUUAGGUUCAUAAAUUAUAGCCGUGAAUUCGAGUGGUUGGUUGUUUGUAUGUGCCAUGCGGUUAACUGGCAACCAGUUAAGGGUGUUCCCUGCUUGU